UUAUCUUGGUGGCGCACUUGGAAUAGUUCUUGGUGGGCUAGCGUGUAUUUCUAAACUAUCGACAGAUUGAAAAAGAAGUCACUCGUAAAGCCCGCUAAGUUAGCGGGCUUUUUGUU
rfam:Vibrio sp. N418 VIBRN418_58, whole genome shotgun sequence.